rnacentral:piRNA from 1 species
UAGGAAGAUUAGGACUCCUGAGUUGCCCA